rnacentral:rRNA from 1 species
ACAUUGAAGCCUAGCGAUAUGUAAGUUAGUGGCGGACGGGUGAGUAACGCGUGGGUAACCUGCCUUGUACUGGGGGACAACAGUUGGAAACGACUGCUAAUACCGCAUAAGCGCACAGCUUCGCAUGAAGCAGUGUGAAAAACUCCGGUGGUACAAGAUGGACCCGCGUCUGAUUAGCUGGUUGGUGAGGUAACGGCCCGCCAAGGCGACGAUCAGUAGCCGGCCUGAGAGGGUGAACGGCCACAUUGGGACUGAGACACGGCCCAAACUCCUACGGGAGGCAGCAGUGGGGAAUAUUGCACAAUGGGGGAAACCCUGAUGCAGCAACGCCGCGUGAGUGAAGAAGUAUUUCGGUAUGUAAAGCUCUAUCAGCAGGAAAGAAAAUGACGGUACCUGACUAAGAAGCCCCGGCUAACUACGUGCCAGCGGCCGCGGUAAUACGUAGGGGGCAAGCGUUAUCCGGAUUUACUGGGUGUAAAGGGAGCGUAGACGGUUUUGCAAGUCUGAAGUGAAAGCCCGGGGCUUAACCCCGGGACUGCUUUGGAAACUGUAGGACUAGAGUGCAGGAGAGGUAAGUGGAAUUCCUAGUGUAGCGGUGAAAUGCGUAGAUAUUAGGAGGAACACCAGUGGCGAAGGCGGCUUACUGG